ACGUACACUCCUACGGGAGGCAGCAGUGGGGAAUAUUGGACAAUGGGCGCAAGCCUGAUCCAGCCAUGCCGCGUGAGUGAUGACGGCCCUAGGGUUGUAAAGCUCUUUCACCGGUGAAGAUAAUGACGGUAACCGGAGAAGAAGCCCCGGCUAACUUCGUGCCAGCAGCCGCGGUAAUACGAAGGGGGCUAGCGUUGUUCGGAUUUACUGGGCGUAAAGCGCACGUAGGCGGACUAUUAAGUCAGGGGUGAAAUCCCGGGGCUCAACCCCGGAACUGCCUUUGAUACUGGUAGUCUUGAGUUCGAGAGAGGUGAGUGGAAUUCCGAGUGUAGAGGUGAAAUUCGUAGAUAUUCGGAGGAACACCAGUGGCGAAGGCGGCUCACUGGCUCGAUACUGACGCUGAGGUGCGAAAGCGUGGGGAGCAAACAGGAUUAGAAACCCCUGUAGUCCCAUGAU
rnacentral:rRNA from 1 species